UGAUAGAGGCGCGGACGUCAAGAGUACCUCCUCCCGCAGGUCCAGGCACGGGGAGAGAGGGAAAGGGGCUUCCGCCGAGGUUUCGGCACUCCCGCCUGGGGAGACCGGAGCCGGGCCGCGGGAGAAGAUCCCACGGACUGUCGCCCCUCCGGGGCGGAGAGCUGUCGU
rnacentral:ncRNA from 1 species